rnacentral:rRNA from 1 species
GCAAGCCGAACGGCAGCGGGUCCUUCGGGAUGCCGGCGAGUGGCGCACGGGUGCGUAACGCGUAUGCAACCUACCUUUGACAGGGGGAUAGCCCGGGGAAACCCGGAUUAAUACCCCAUGGUAUUAUUGAAUCGCAUGGUUUAAUAAUUAAAGAUUUAUUGGUCAGAGAUGGGCAUGCGUCCGAUUAGCUAGUUGGUAGGGUAACGGCCUACCAAGGCGAUGAUCGGUAGGGGGUCUGAGAGGAUGAUC